CCAUGUUGGCCAGGCUGGUCUCGAACUUCCCAUCUCAAGUGAUCUGCCCGCCUCAGCCUGCCAAAGUGCUGGGAUUACAGGCAUGAGCCACCACACCCAUCUUAUUUUUAUCUAUCUAAGUUAUACAGCAACACAAGAAACUCUUCUUAAUGGUAUAUCAUAAAGAGAGAUGGCAUAAAUGAAACAUUGCAUAAUGGUAUUCAUUUUAAAUUAAACCUAAAUAUGUAAAUAUCCAAGGUCUAAUUAGCAAUGGAUAUUCUUAGUGUACAAUAAAACUGCAUUAAUCUGGACACCAAAGAUGUUGAAUCAUUUGCCUUUAGAAGAUGCUUUGAGAAGAUUGGUCUUUGGAGACUCAAACAAAAAGAUCCUGGUGUUCAAAGGACAUGUGUUUAAGAAUAAGGAUUUAUGAAGUUAAGGUCAUGAGAGGAGUCUCAGAAGACUCAAAUCAAGGAGUGAUAGAGAUGGGCAUGUUCUUAUAAUAGAGUAACAUAGGCAUUGGCUAAAAAAGAUCUACAGGAUGUUUAGAUAGUGAUGGGUAGGCAGGUUAGACACUGUGAAUACUGAGUUUAAGAACUUUGAACCACAACAGCGUACUCCGGGACCCAGCAUUGGUGGAGAAGCAUUGAGAGGUCUGAGCCUGGCUGGUUAGUGUGGAACGAAGAAUCACAGGUAUGGCUGGAAGAGCAUGGGAAUGAGUAUUUGUAGUUUAUAAAGACACAAUUUUAAGCACUUUGAAGCCUCUACCAUGUGCUAUUUUUAAGUCUUCUCAGUUGAUUGAGUCUGAGAAGAGUGAAGAUUAAGUGCUGGGGCUGAAAGUUUAACCUAGAUCUGUGUGACUCCAAAACCCAACCUUUUCAGCACUAUGUUAUACUGCCAUUUGGUGCAUAACUAUGGGACAGGGGGGUGCAGAUGUGCGUACACAUGCAUUAUACAUUUCAUUAUAUAUUUCAUUUUCUUUUUUAAAUAAAAUAGGAUCAUGCUGUUUUGUAACUGUUUCUCUCAUCAAAUCUUGUGUUCACAUAACGCAUUAAGUUUUGGAGAGCUUUGGUAACAGUGGUUCAAGAUACCCAAACGUAAGCCUAAGAACAAAGUGUAAAUAAAACCCAAUUCCCUCCACAAAGAACAGACCCAGAAGGCCAUACUAAAGGUACCAGUGACUUGGGCAAUUUGUCUGUCAUCCAAUAAGCCCAGAAGUUGCCAUGAGAAGAGAGAUAAUGGUCCAAUUUCUUUGACUUUGUCAAAACAGUCAAAUCAUGGAGACAUUUUAAGACAUUCAUGACCACAAAUUCAACAACAUUUUCCCAUUUAGAACAUUUUGGGCUAUUAUGCAGAAAUCGCAGAAAUACAAUCUUCUCUAUUGUUUCCAAAUAAGUUUAUACUCAUUAGAUGGUAAUAUGCAACAGUAAAUUUUUUAAGAGUUACAAUGUUGCUUAUACAAUAAAUAAAUAAGUGUAUUUCCAAGAUAUAUGGGAAGCAGAUAUGUGGAGUAAGAAAAUGAUUUUUUAAGCUAUCAUUUCCUUGUUUAAGCCACAGUCAUGCUUUGGUCCCAUUGCUUGCACAUGUAAUCCUGCCGAAUACUGUUUUGUUAUUUCAAAGUUGGUGGUUGUAUAUAUAAAAUAUGAUAUUGAAAUAAAAAUCUGAGAAGUAAUUGAAAUGAAAAUCUGAGAAUAAGGUAGUGAAAUGAAAAUCUGAGAAGAAAAAGUUUUUAAAAAUCCAUUUUUAUUACUCAUAUCUCCAGUUUCACAAGUUUAACUGUUACUCUUUUAAUAAAAU
rnacentral:lncRNA from 10 species